rnacentral:tRNA from 1 species
ACUGAAAUAGCUCAGUUGGGAGAGCGUUAAAUUAUAGAUCGAAAUGUCCCUUGUUCGAACCCGAGUUUUGGCA